GCGGAGGCGUGGGCGUACACUGAGGGGACCGCCCUCGAAAGCGGGUAGGCCCGCAAGGGUCUCGUGGGUUCAAAUCCCACUCCCUCCGCCCCA
rnacentral:tRNA from 1 species